GCUUACGGCCAUACCACCCUGAGCACGCCCGAUCUCGUCUAAAUUCUCGGAAACUAAGCAGGGUAGGGCCUGGUUAGUACUUGGAUGGGAGACCGCCUGGGAAUACCAGGUGCUGUAAGCC